AAACAAGAAAGGAAUAUGCGAAUUGAAAAAACUAGCCAAUGGAAAAUAACGGAUCCUCGGGCAAGAGACGAAUACAGAUCUACUAUGGACGAACGAGCAAAAAUUGUCGAAGAAUGUAAAGACAUUUUUAAACAUUGUGUGAACACAGGAGUGAACCACUUACGCUACGGAAAAUACAUUGACGGCUUAAAAGAGCUCGAGACAGAAUUAAGCGAACGAAGCAACGACAUGUUAAAAAAAUAUCAACAAUUUUCUGA